rnacentral:tRNA from 1 species
GGGUGACUCGUCUAGUGGUUAGGACACUUCGUUGUGGCUCAUUAGGAGACAUGACGACCGAAGAAACCCUGGUUCGAUUCCAGGGUCACCCA